GGCUCGGUUACUAAAGAUGCCACCACAAAGUAUGUCAUUCUUGAAGAAAUGGAAGAUCAAGAAGAUGAUGGGCCUUGAAUUCUCUGUACCACUUUUACUUUGAUUGGUCAACUCGAAUAGAUGGUGCAUGCAUUCCGGGACAUCCUUCCUACCUGGGAUGGAAGCUAAAUUCUCGUCUGCAGCAUAGUUCUCAUGAUCUGCCUUUGAAAGUCGAGGAUACUUUUAUGUGUAUGAAGUGAAUAGAAUAGCCCAUUUUUGUGUGACAUAUCAUCACAUAUACUACAUAAUAUUCAAUUGGCUGUAUAUCUGCAUUCUGAAUCAAAUCACCCUCACAAUUUUACCUCUUUUCUGAUUCAUAUACAAACUCUUGCUAAAA